rnacentral:lncRNA from 1 species
GAGUCCACAUCUGGGCAGUCUCAUUCUCCAAGUUGAACUAUCUUUCUCUGUUUCCCAUAUUUGCUGAGGAGAAGCCACAAGCUCAAGCGGCUCCUACUGUUGUCCCAGGGAUGCUAGACAGGGUCUCCCUCCCGCCACUCUGUCAUCCAGGCUGGCGUGCAAUGGCGCCAUCACGACUCACUGCAGCUUCGACCUCCCGGGCUCAAGUGAUUCUCUCACCUCAGCCUCCCGAGUAGCUGGGACCACAGGUACACACCACCAUGUCCAGCUAAUUUUUGUAUAACUUUUCCAUAAUAAACAAAAAAAAAGGAUCUCAAUUGUGGAACAAUUUUAGGAAUCCUUUAUUUUACUUGUAUUUUCCUUUAUUGUUCGCAAUAAAUACACCCAUAAAAGCUCUUUCAGUAAAUAAGAAAUAAAAAUUCCAAGUGGUAAGGAAGCAUUGUUGCAUCUUAUAGACAGUAUACACUUUUCUUUCUUUGUAACAACCAUAAAAGUGGAGUUUCUUAGAGUCCAUGAAAUGCAGUAUCUAAAACAUUCCCCAGAAGGAAUAAUGCUAAUAAUAGCAACUGAUGGGCCAGACAUGGUGGCUCAUGCCUGUAAUUCCAGCACUUUGGGAGGCCGAGGCAUGUGGAUUACCUGAGGUCAGGAGAUCGAGACCAGCCUGGCCAACAUGGUGAAAUGCUGUUUCUACUACAAAUACAAAACUUAGCUCGUGUGGUGGCAGGCAUCUGUAAUCCCAGCUACUUGGGAGGCCAAGGCAGGAAAAUUGCUGGAACCCAGGAGGCAGAGGUUGCAGUGAGCUGAGAUCAUACUGCUGCACUCCAGCCUGGGCAACAGGGUAAGAU